rnacentral:hammerhead_ribozyme from 1 species
AUCCAGCUGACGAGUCCCAAGUUGGGCGAAAGGCGCGUCCUGUAU